rnacentral:rRNA from 1 species
UACGAAGGGGGCUAGCGUUGUUCGGAAUUACUGGGCGUAAAGCGCACGUAGGCGGAUAUUUAAGUCGGGGGUGAAAUCCCGGGGCUCAACCCCGGAACUGCCUUCGAUACUGGGUAUCUUGAGUUCGGAAGAGGUGAGUGGAAUUGCGAGUGUAGAGGUGAAAUUCGUAGAUAUUCGCAAGAACACCAGUGGCGAAGGCGGCCAACUGGUCCGGUACUGACGCUGAGGUGGCGAAAGCGUGGGAGCAAACAGGA